AUGGGAGGAGUGGUUGUGAGCCACAGCCUACACUCAUGUCAAGGGGCAGGGCUGGCCACCACCUGGAGUGAGCAGGAGGAGAGUCUAGGAUCUUCUCCAUCUCAAACACGGCCUCUGGGGAGCUUAAGGAUGUGGCGAGAUAAGGUAGUGAAGGCACUGUGUAAACUGCAAAGCUCUUUCUGUCCCCACCAAGCAGACAGCAGUGAACAUCCUCUCUCCCUGGCAGCAGGUGAACAUGAAUCUCUUUCCGAAAGCUUCAGGUUCAGUCAUGCUCAGAAACAGCGCUCAAGAAGAGGUUCUCAAAACCAUGGUCACAAAACCUAUUGGAGAGAAGCAGCAGGAUGCAUGGCUCUCUGAGCACUGGUAGCUUCUUCAAGGGGGACCGGGGAUUUCUACCUGAACCUAGAUAUUGCACGGAACCACAGAGAAACUCAUGUCUCUCUUUUCAUGUGAGAGAGGAAAAAAGAAAUGAAGGCGACUUUGAGCAUCCAACAAACCCACUGACCUUGAAACGGUUCUCUAGUUAUCUCUCUAUCUCGUUAUCUCGUGGGCCUCAUUGGUUUUUCUGCUUCUGUAAAUAGUGCUUAUAAGGGGGUGCCCCUAUGAAACGCUUAGAGUCAAUCAACUCCUUAUCAGCAGGGAAGGCUGGCCUUCCUAAGCUCAUUCACCCCUGAUCUUGUGAGGACACAGCAGACGCUGGCGGUUGCCCAACCCAAUAGGCAGACCAAGUGCCUCAUUAGGAUGCCAGUAAGUCAGGGGCCCCAAAGCAAUGAGGUAAAAAAAAAAAAAAAAAAAAAAAAAAAAAAAAAGCAGCUCCUAUAAAGUUAUCCAGAAUAUUGUGUUUGGAAACAUCUAGAAAGAAAUGAUUUUGACAUCUGAAUACAUGCAAGUUUUUCAUUUUGUCAGUUCAUAGUGUUUUUAUCUUGAAUCACACCGCAGAUGGUGCCAUAUGUUUAGGGCUUAGGAAUCGGUCUGAAUCGGCUCCUCUGGUAUUUUCUCCCACCCCCAAGUCAUGGCAGAUUAAGUGUGCUCUGAGGCUCUGGGAUUUUCCAGUCUUUCACGGAGGCCCUGCCUGCUGGGAUUCUUGAGAUGGGGCUUCGUUUCAGUGAUGUGUUCAGAAAAACGACAUCACAGGGUGGUGGCUGCGAUUUCACUAAAAAGCAUGUGAAGGCACCUGACAGUGUUGGAACUCAAGCAAUAUUAAUUUCCUCCCCUCGUUAGAAGCUUGUUCCAUGUGAAUCGAGCGAUUGACAGGGCAAGACUUUAAAGACUUUAAGAAAUCAUUGCUUUAUACACAAAGUUCUAAAAGAACAAAAAGAGAGAGGUAUGAAAUUGGAAUUUUGCUACCUUCCCUUUA
rnacentral:lncRNA from 1 species